GCCGGGAGCUGACUACCUUUGAUUUCCAAUGACGCAAGCCAGAGGAGUCACUAGUAUGGACUGCAGGGACCAGGUCAGGGAGUGAGAACACGGGUGUUUGUACCUGUCAGGGAGCAUCAUCUGGGGUGCUCCAGGCGUCGGAUCAGAAGAGACCCUCACUCCGCCCUGCCUCAGGACCCAGGUGUUCUAGAUGUGUGUGGUACUGCUUGUCCCUCCCUCCUAGGGUCACGAAGAUGCUGAAAGAGCAAACCUCUAGGCAGUAUUUAAAGUCUGUAAGACAAGACUCCAGGAGAACUGAAACGAAGGAUGUGAAAGUGGUGGUGGAUGAAGAGAUGGGGGAAACUCCACUAUACCUCCAGGGCACACAGGUCUUAUUCUGGCCCCCGGAGAGACAGUGGGAGCAAGGUUGUGGCGAUAUGCUCCUAGACCUCAAAGGAAUCAACAGCACUCGCAUUUCUGAAAUCUGUUAAGAGGAUUCCGAAGAAAAAGCAAGCAGGUUCACAGUUCUCAACUCAACCGAGGACAGCUCUGCCCCUCAGGGGACCUUUGGGAAUGAGUGGCGUUUGUUUGCCCCUCAGUGAAUGUUGACUAAGGACGUUGAGCAUCCUGAAAGGCGCAGCACAGUAAGACACAGUGAGAACUGUCCUUACCCAAAUACCAACAGUGCGCUGUCUGGAAACACAGCACCCACAUCAACCCUGACUGGCAUCACUGGUCUGUCUCUUCAACUCCGUCUACCCGCUGAGGUUGGCGGUGGCUUCAUUAUUUUCUCAAGUCAGAGCAGAACUGUGGCCGGUUCCUCACAGUUGGCAUUGGGAAUUUGCCAUCCCUGAUUACAGACUUACUCCUUUUUUUUUUUUCUGGGAAACUGAGAUAAGGAGAGG
ensembl:lncRNA